AUGUCCCAUAUCUGUGCCCAAAUAACUUUCAGCGAGUUGUGUCACCACCAGCUGAGUUAUGAGAGCCUGUAUGUGGCCAAGCAGAGGAAUAGUGCUAUCCUGCAUCACGCCCAGCCACUGUGUGAGGGAGAGAGAAGAAAGCCAGGCGAGAAGCAGCGCUGCAGGCUGGGCAUCCUCAGUCCUGUAAAGAAAAUGCCUGGCUUAGCAGAUACUGGUGUGAAGCUCUUCGUCAAAAUUCCUCAAUGUGUCACAGAGUGGCCAGGGUUGGAAGGGACCUCAAGGAUCGUGAAUCAAAUCCUUGUCAGAUUUCAUCAGAUGGCUGCAGCUAGUUUGUCUCUUGCUGAGUACGUAGCUUCAGUCUUUGCAGAGUCAUGCAGGACUGAAAUGUUUAGCAGAGAUAACCACAAGCCAGUCUCCAGACUCUUAAACUGGUAUUUAAAUAUUUUUUCUCUUUAA
rnacentral:lncRNA from 1 species